rnacentral:lncRNA from 1 species
GCUGCACUGAUAAGAAAUCUUGGAAAAGUUACAAACUUGCUAAAAGGUAGAAACUUGGCACUCACUUGGAGAACUACCCACCUGUAAUGCGGACGCGUGUUGCUGGUCUCUGCUGUUCCCAGAGAGGUUCCCUCCAUGCCGACUGCCAGAGUUCCCCCAGUCACGUGCAGUGAGGACACAACAAAACCCCUCUAAUAGUGAUGUAUACUUAAGCUGAUAUAUCCGGAUGCUAAGCUGUUUUGAAGUGAAUGCAUGCAACUGCUUAAUGAGAAUUAAGC